rnacentral:rRNA from 1 species
AGUGAACGCUGGCGGUAGGCCUAACACAUGCAAGUCGAACGGCAGCACAGUAAGAGCUUGCUCUUACGGGUGGCGAGUGGCGGACGGGUGAGGUAUACAUCGGAAUCUACUUUUUCGUGGGGGAUAACGUAGGGAAACUUACGCUAAUACCGCAUACGACCUACGGGUGAAAGCAGGGGAUCUUCGGACCUUGCGCGAUUGAAUGAGCCGAUGUCGGAUUAGCUAGUUGGCGGGGUAAAGGCCCACCAAGGCGACGAUCCGUAGCUGGUCUGAGAGGAUGAUCAGCCACACUGGAACUGAGACACGGACCAGACUCCUACGGGAGGCAGCAGUGGGGAAUAUUGGACAAUGGGGGGAAGCCUGAUCCAGCCAUACCGCGUGGGUGAAGAAGGCCUUCGGGUUGUAAAGCCCUUUUGUUGGGAAAGAAAAGCAGCAGGUUAAUACCCCGCUGUUCUGACGGUACCCAAAGAAUAAGCACCGGCUAACUUCGUG